UCCCCGUUACCGGGGCAGUCUGAAUAGAAAAAUACAACUAUUCACAAGGGUUGCGCUCGUUGAUGGACUUAACCAAACAUCUCACGACACGAGCUGACGACGGCCAUGCAUCACCUGUCACUUGGCUCAAUAAAGCACUCUCUACUUUCAUAGAAAUUCCAAGGAUGUCAAACCCUGGUAAGGUGGGGAUGACGUUAGUGACCUUUGC
rnacentral:misc_RNA from 1 species